rnacentral:lncRNA from 1 species
ACGCCAGCAGGUGAGGAGGCUGGGGCCAGAUGACAGCUAGUGAGGGAGCAGAGACAAGACAAGGCGAGCCUGUGACAGAGCGAGACCCUGUCUCAAAAAACAAAAACAAGACAUGUGAGCUUGGACUCCAGUGUGGAAUCCCAUGUCCGCUCAGUGCACCUUUCUGCCGCUGAAAGUACAAGAGGAGAGGGGAAACCCACAGGUGGAGCUGACCAUGAGGACUGUCACAGCUUUGAGAGGCAAAUCCAGAAAUCAGCCCUCCAGCUUCCUCUACCAAGAAGACUGGCGGUUACAACCCUGGCUCUGUGGGGCUUCUCUUGCCCUCUCUUCUGACUGCCCUACUUGGCUCCAGGUGAGGGUGAGAGGAAGCUGGAGAUGGAAGAUGCAGCUGGGGGAACUCACCAGGCAGGUCUCAGGGAACUCUUUGAAUAAGAGGACACCAGAUCAUGCCUGCAGUUCCAGCCCAGGAGCAACUAGCACCAGCCUCAGCAUGGAGCAGGACUUCAGUUCCAGCAGCGAGGACUGAGAUCAGACACAAGAGAAAGCUCCCUGAUGAGGAGGGGUGAUUCUAAAACGAAGGGCGGAAAUUAUCUGGGGAAUUUCCUUCCCGUGAAGCCUCAGGAACAUGCCAGUCCCCCACUUCGGUCUGUCCUGGGGGGUCUCACGCCCCUGUCCUCCUAGAGAAAUCUAGAUCCUCCAAACUCUGCCUGGGUUCUUCCUGGGGAGUCUUGACCCCUGCCUUGUGGUUGAUGUGGGAUAGGGGACCCGGGAACAGGGCUGCCUUCCUCUGGCCAAGGCCUGGCAAGCAAGUGUGGGAUGGGUGCUGUCUUCCUGAGAGGGACAAUAGAAGUGACAGAGCCCCCUAAUUCAAGACCCUGCAGAGGUGGUGUGAGAUCUUAUAAUAUCAGUCUCUAAGCCAGUGCCUCUCAAGCUCUCUUUGGUGAAGAAUCAAUUUUUAAAAUAUAUAAUCAGUCACAGAUCAAUGCUUUUGUAAAAUGCAAUAAAAGUUAAUUUCCAAAAAAA